UGUCAUCUGGCAAAGUGACACGUGCAUUUCAUUUACUCUCCCUGUGGCUUUUAAACAUAAUUUUUGUACACAGGUGGAACCACAAGUGUUUGUUCCUUAUGGAAAAGGUAGCAUGGAGACUUCUUUAACACUGAGAACCUUAGAACUGAAUAGACACAAAAUCACAAGGAACUUUAAAUUGUAAUGUGAUUUCCUGACAUAGAAUCAGAAACCUUCACACACUUCUGUGAAGCCAGACAUCUUUGAAGGAUACAGAGGACACACAGCUAUCAAUAUAUAGAAGGAGGAGAAGCUCCCUCAAGUAAAGAACAGCAAUAGAAGACAAGAACAACUGUCACCAGCCAGAAGAGGUGUCCAGUCUAUCUGCCUGGGUAGCAUCCUGAAGUCCAAUAGCGAGAGUCAUGGGGAUUGGAGCGGGGACGGAGGCGGCUUCUGGGGCGCCAUGGUGAACGCGGGAUCCCCACCUGGACAAUGUACCAACAUUUCCACCGCUUCAAAUUGCCCGCGGCUGAAACAGAGCCCGGGACUUCUGUCGAGGAGUGAUAGCGUCACCAGCGUUAACGCAAGAUCCAGGAACACAGAAGGAUAAGACGCGGCGUGAUGGCGUCACAGAGCGCGACGGGAAAACAGGAAGACAGUAGUGAAACGUCUUCAAUGACGGAGGCGUUGGCUUCCGGAGUCCCAUUGAGGACCUUGGGUCCAGGUCGGCACCGGGACGUAUGUACGUACUCAGGAAUCUGCGAUGGACACACCCGGUGCUCCCCCUGUUUCAAAACCCCCGCAAAGGACGCUUAGCCUGGCACUUCCGGCCAGGAGUGAUGGCGUCACGGGAAUCAGGAAGAGAGGAGGGCUGUGGAAAUAAAGGCAGAGCAGAGAUAUCUGGGCGUGGUCCAAUGUCCUGGUGUGACCACAGCAAACAGUAAGAGCGUGAGGAGGUGGGCGCCGCCUGAGGUCAUCACUGACCCGAUCACAGGAAACAGGCCAAGUCACAGAACUGAACUAGGUAACUGGAGCCAUCCCGGCUUGAAAACGUCACAGGAGCCACAAAGUUACGGGAGAACCGGGUGAGAUGGUCCGAUGUGGCGCGGCAUGAAGUCGUCAUGAAGUGUGACAGUGACACCGCGACCAGGAUACAAUUAAAGAGUGACAUGCUCCAGGCACCGGCGCCCCGCGGCGCGACAGAAUAGCGACGGUCCUGAGGGACUCAGGCCGCGGCAUUCAAAGUGCUGACCCGGAAUCUUGAUGACUUUACUUGAUGGUGACAGCGGGGACUGGAUGCACACGCGCAGUCACGUCUUCUGAGGCUCUUCCCACAGCUUGGCACAAGUGUAUGUUACUGAUGUGCAGUGAGCUGUGCUUUGGGAUCCAGUGAAUGUCCGUCAUGGUGACAGGGGGCGGGGUAGAUGCUGUGAGUCUAGCCCUUUUCUUGCCCAUUCUGAUUCAAACAUUCCUAAAUGGUGAAAGAAUUGGGCGGGUCUGCGUGC
ensembl:lncRNA